GACACACGGCGGGUGCUAACGUCCGUCGUGAAGAGGGAAACAACCCAGACCGCCAGCUAAGGUCCCAAAGUCAUGGUUAAGUGGGAAACGAUGUGGGAAGGCCCAGACAGCCAGGAUGUUGGCUUAGAAGCAGCCAUCAUUUAAAGAAAGCGUAAUAGCUCACUGGUCGAGUCGGCCUGCGCGGAAGAUGUAACGGGGCUAAACCAUGCACCGAAGCUGCGGCAGCGACACUCAGGUGUUGUUGGGUAGGGGAGCGUUCUGUAAGCCUGCGAAGGUGGCCUGUGAGGGUUGCUGGAGGUAUCAGAAGUGCGAAUGCUGACAUAAGUAACGAUAAAGCGGGUGAAAAGCCCGCUCGCCGGAAGACCAAGGGUUCCUGUCCAACGUUAAUCGGGGCAGGGUGAGUCGACCCCUAAGGCGAGGCCGAAAGGCGUAGUCGAUGGGAAACGGGUUAAUAUUCCCGUACUUGGUGUUACUGCGAAGGGGGGACGGAGAAGGCUAUGUUGGCCGGGCGACGGUUGUCCCGGUUUAAGCGUGUAGGUGUGUGUUCCAGGUAAAUCCGGUUCACUUUAACACUGAGGCGUGACGACGAGGCACUACGGUGCUGAAGCAACAAAUGCCCUGCUUCCAGGAAAAGCCUCUAAGCAUCAGGUAACAUCAAAUCGUACCCCAAACCGACACAGGUGGUCAGGUAGAGAAUACCAAGGCGCUUGAGAGAACUCGGGUGAAGGAACUAGGCAAAAUGGUGCCGUAACUUCGGGAGAAGGCACGCUGACACGUAGGUGAAGUGAUUUACUCACGGAGCUGAAGUCAGUCGAAGAUACCAGCUGGCUGCAACUGUUUAUUAAAAACACAGCACUGUGCAAACACGAAAGUGGACGUAUACGGUGUGACGCCUGCCCGGUGCCGGAAGGUUAAUUGAUGGGGUCAGCGCAAGCGAAGCUCCUGAUCGAAGCCCCGGUAAACGGCGGCCGUAACUAUAACGGUCCUAAGGUAGCGAAAUUCCUUGUCGGGUAAGUUCCGACCUGCACGAAUGGCGUAAUGAUGGCCAGGCUGUCUCCACCCGAGACUCAGUGAAAUUGAACUCGCUGUGAAGAUGCAGUGUACCCGCGGCAAGACGGAAAGACCCCGUGAACCUUUACUAUAGCUUGACACUGAACAUUGAGCCUUGAUGUGUAGGAUAGGUGGGAGGCUUUGAAGUGUGGACGCCAGUCUGCAUGGAGCCGACCUUGAAAUACCACCCUUUAAUGUUUGAUGUUCUAACGUGGACCCGUGAUCCGGGUUGCGGACAGUGUCUGGUGGGUAGUUUGACUGGGGCGGUCUCCUCCUAAAGAGUAACGGAGGAGCACGAAGGUUGGCUAAUCCUGGUCGGACAUCAGGAGGUUAGUGCAAUGGCAUAAGCCAGCUUGACUGCGAGCGUGACGGCGCGAGCAGGUGCGAAAGCAGGU
rnacentral:rRNA from 1 species